GGGGAUUUAGCUUAGUUGGUAGAGUGUUUGCCUUGCAUGUACAAGGCCGUGAAUUUAAUCCCCA
rnacentral:tRNA from 1 species